rnacentral:rRNA from 1 species
AGACGGGACCCCGCACAAGCGGUGGAUCAUGUUGUUUAAUUCGAUGAUACGCGAAGAACCUUACCAGGUCUUGACAUCCCGAUGCUAUUUCUAGAGAUAGAAAGUUACUUCGGUACAUCGGUGACAGGUGGUGCAUGGUUGUCGUCAGCUCGUGUCGUGAGAUGUUGGGUUAAGUCCCGCAACGAGCGCAACCCCUAUUGUUAGUUGCCAUCAUUCAGUUGGGCACUCUAGCGAGACUGCCGGUAAUAAACCGGAGGAAGGUGGGGAUGACGUCAAAUCAUCAUGCCCCUUAUGACCUGGGCUACACACGUGCUACAAUGGUUGGUACAACGAGUUGCGAGUCGGUGACGGCGAGCUAAUCUCUUAAAGCCAAUCUCAGUUCGGAUUGUAGGCUGCAACUCGCCUACAUGAAGUCGGAAUCGCUAGUAAUCGCGGAUCAGCACGCCGCGGUGAAUACGUUCCCGGGUCUU